UACGUAGGGUGCAAGCGUUAAUCGGAAUUACUGGGCGUAAAGCGUGCGCAGGCGGCUUUGCCAGACAGCUGUGAAAGCCCGGGGCUCACCCCCGGAAGUGCAUUGGAAACUGGCGGACUCGAGUCCCGGAGAGGAGGGUGGAAUUCCUGGUGUAGCGGUGAAAUGCGUAGAUAUCAGGAGGAACACCGGUGGCGAAGGCGACCCUCUGGACGGUGACUGACGCUGAGACGCGAAAGCGUGGGGAGCAAACAGG
rnacentral:rRNA from 1 species